rnacentral:rRNA from 1 species
GACGAACCGUGCGAACGUUGUUCGGAAUCACUGGGCUUAAAGGGCGCGUAGGCGGGCUGACAAGUUGGACGUGAAAGCUCCUGGCUUAACUGGGAGAGGCCGUUCAAAACUGUCAAGCUAGAGUCUGGAAGAGGAGAGCGGAAUUCCCGGUGUAGUGGUGGAAUGCGUAGAGAUCGGGAGGAACACCAGUGGCGAAAGCGGCUCUCUGGUCCAAAACUGACGCUGAGGGGCGAAAGCGUGGGGAGCGAACGGG